UACGUAGGUGGCGAGCGUUAUUCGGAAUCACUGGGCAUAAAGCGCGUGUAGGCGGCCGCGCAAGUCGGGUGUGAAAUCCCACGGCUCAACCGUGGAACUGCGCCCGAUACUGCAUGGCUCGAGGCUGGUAGGGGAGAGUGGAAUUCCUGGUGGAGCGGUGAAAUGCGUUGAUAUCAGGAGGAACGCCGGCGGCGAAAGCGGCUCUCUGGUCCAGUUCUGACGCUGAGACGCGAAAGCCAGGGGAGCAAACGGG
rnacentral:rRNA from 1 species